GAUGAAGAACGCAGCGAAAUGCGAUAAGUAAUGUGAAUUGCAGAAUUCAGUGAAUCAUCGAAUCUUUGAACGCAUCUUGCACUCCUUGGUAUUCCGAGGAGCAUGCCUGUUUGAGUAUCAGUAAACACCUCAAAGACUUCAAUUUGUUUUGAAUGGCUUUGGACUUGAGCAAUCCCAACACCAGUCUUUACGAUCGGUGGAGGGUUGCUUGAAAUGCAGGUGCAGCUGGACAUUCUCCUGAGCUAAAAGCAUAUUUAUUUAGUCCCGUCAAACUGAUUAUUACUUUUGCUGCAGCUAACAUAAAGGGAGUUUGACCGUAUUGGCUGACUGAUGCAGGAUUUCACAAGGGUCGGCAACGAUUCUUGUAAAACUCGAUCUCAAAUCAAGUAAGACUACCCGCUGAACUUAAGCAUAUCAAUAAGCGGAGGA
rnacentral:misc_RNA from 1 species